AAGAAGGGAUAAGAUCAAUAAGUACUGCUAAUCCUUAAAACCAUGGUUAAAAUCCAUGGCCUUCUUG
rnacentral:tRNA from 1 species